UAGCCAAUCGGUGACUGAGUUUGGA
rnacentral:piRNA from 1 species